GAUGAACGCUGGCGGCGUGCCUAAUACAUGCAAGUCGAGCGAACAGACGAGGAGCUUGCUCCUCUGACGUUAGCGGCGGACGGGUGAGUAACACGUGGAUAACCUACCUAUAAGACUGGGAUAACUUCGGGAAACCGGAGCUAAUACCGGAUAAUAUAUUGAACCGCAUGGUUCAAUAGUGAAAGACGGUUUUGCUGUCACUUAUAGAUGGAUCCGCGCCGCAUUAGCUAGUUGGUAAGGUAACGGCUUACCAAGGCAACGAUGCGUAGCCGACCUGAGAGGGUGAUCGGCCACACUGGAACUGGGACACGGUCCAGACUCCUACGGGAGGCAGCAGUAGGGAAUCUUCCGCAAUGGGCGAAAGCCUGACGGAGCAACGCCGCGUGAGUGGUGAAGGUCUUCGGAUCGUAAAACUCUGUUAUUAGGGAAGAACAAAUGUGUAAGUAACUAUGCACGUCUUGACGGUACCUAAUCAGAGAGCCACGGCUAACUACGUG
rnacentral:rRNA from 1 species